rnacentral:lncRNA from 1 species
UUUUUUCUGCAUAAAAACUCAUUUACACUCUCAUUUUAGGUAUCCUUCAUCUUGUCGUUCUUCAUAGAAACACCCUAAUCCAUGUAUUCCUUUAGAGAGCACACACUCAUUUUUUGGGCAUCAUUUUGAUUUUUGCUGCAAUACUCGCAUUUUCUGGGAUUUUUGAGUUGUUUCUUGGCUGGAGAUUGAAGUUGCUUUAUGCUAAGCCUGCUUUUGCUGAGAUACUCAUCUUUUUUUCUGAAACCUUUAUUUGAUUUUGGUUUCUUAUUUACUUGCUGAUUAAGGUAUGAAUCCUGUCUUCAAAU